rnacentral:rRNA from 1 species
AUUGAACGCUGGCGGCAUGCUUUACACAUGCAAGUCGAACGGUAACAGGCCGCAAGGUGCUGACGAGUGUCGAACGGGUGAGUAAUGCAUCGGAACGGGCCCCGUCGUUGGGGAUAACUACUAGAAAGAGUAGCUAAUACCGCAUACGAUCUAUGGAUGAAAGCGGGGGACCGUAAGGCCUCGCGCGAUUUUAGCGGCCGAUGUCAGAUUAGGUAGUUGGUGGGGUAAAGGCUCACCAAGCCAACGAUCUGUAGCUGGUCUGAGAGGACGACCAGCCACACUGGGACUGAGACACGGCCCAGACUCCUACGGGAGGCAGCAGUGGGGAAUUUUGGACAAUGGGCGAAAGCCUGAUCCAGCAAUGCCGCGUGCAGGAAGAAGGCCUUCGGGUUGUAAACUGCUUUUGUACGGAACGAAACGGCUCUGGUUAAUACCCGGGGCUAAUGACGGUACCGUAAGAAUAAGCACCGGCUAACUACGUG